rnacentral:lncRNA from 10 species
ACUAUGGCAAUGCCGCCGCUCGCCCCGGGGCGCUAGUUUGGGGCCGGGUUUUCGGUGCAGGUGCCCGGCGGGUGCGAGGGCGCUGGAGAUGGCGGCUGGGAGACACCAGCAGAGUCCCGGAAGCCCGAGACGUCCCAGGCACUUCGGUUGCGCUCCCAGCCGGCAGAGGCGCGCCUGGAUUCUGAGACCAGGAAUCGGAGCUGCGCUAUUAGAGCGCAGGAUGGAGGAAGGUAGCCUGGGCCCAACUGAACUCACUGUGUAUUCAGAAAAUAACCCACAGUUGGGAAAUUCACAGUGCCAUUGCUUUGAAUCAAAUCCUUACUUCAUACCAGGAUGUACCAUGAUUCUUGGCAACAUGACUGGGUAUUGAUGUCUUGUCUAGCCAAUGAAAUCCACAUAGCAAAGAUGUUAUGAAGACAUGGAAACAUGAAUAUGAAAUAAAAUCAGUAUAGCUAUUUGGAUGAUUAGCUAUCGACACAAGACAGUCCCUGGUAAUUGCCUUUAAUAGUAAGGUAGCACUAGGCCAUGAAAGGUGCUUCAGUGUACCUGCCUCAUUUGUGGCUCCCUUUUGGCCAUGUGACCCUAACUCCCCUGGUCACAAGUGGCUGAACCAGCAAUCAAUACCUGACCUGAAGGCAACCCUCUAUAGGCUGGCAAGUGGCCUACAAAGUUGCUCAGUGCUAGAGAACUGAGCCCAACAGAAGUACAUUCUAAUGUUUAGUGAUUGGCCAAUCGUAUUCUUUGUGAUGGUGCUGAUGGGAAGGUAGUGAUGUGCAUCAGACAUGCAGAGUUAGUAGCAGCUGGAGCAGACACAGAAGCCUCCCUAACAAUGGGCAAUGGAGAAAGGAACAACAGACAGUUCUGAAAGAAUACCAAGUGCUCCUAAGCCAAAAGCUAUAGUUAGGCUGCUGGAGGUACUGCCAGUCCUAAAUGAUGGCAAUGAUGGUCCAUUUUUCUGUGAAACUUGACUGUAUACCUGUUAAGAUUUUUUUGUGUUCUUUUUAAGGCUCCAUGAAUGAAUCUUUCCAAUAAACAAGUUUGUAACAAAGGCAACCUGAACAUUUCUGAUACUUGAAACUUGAAAAUAUCUAAUACAAUUUUACAUCACUUUCAAAUCAUGAGUGAAGAAGUUAAUGUGUUAUUGAAUUAGAUUCCCUAUACAUAUGUCAGUUACUUAUUCAAUCAAUAAUAUGUACUGAUAACCUACUAUGUGCCAGACAUGUA